rnacentral:rRNA from 1 species
CCUACGGGAGGCAGCAGUGGGGAAUAUUGGGCAAUGGGCGCAAGCCUGACCCAGCAACGCCGCGUGAAGGAAGAAGGCUCUCGGGUUGUAAACUUCUUUUAUCAGGGACGAAGCAAGUGACGGUACCUGAUGAAUAAGCCACGGCUAACUACGUGCCAGCAGUCGCGGUAAUACGUAGGUGGCAAGCGUUAUCCGGAUGUACUGGGUGUAAAGGGCGUGUAGGCGGGAAAGCAAGUCAGAUGUGAAAACCAUGGGCUCAACCUGUGGCCUGCAUUUGAAACUGUUUUUCUUGAGUACUGGAGAGGCAGACGGAAUUCCUAGUGUAGCGGUGAAAUGCGUAGAUAUUAGGAGGAACACUAGUGGCGAAGGCGGUCUGCUGGACAGCAACUGACGCUGAGGCGCGAAAGCGUGGGGAGCAAACAGGAUUAGAUACCCCAGUAGUC